rnacentral:misc_RNA from 1 species
GUGAUUGACUCAUCAGAAGUUCCUUUUCUGGAGUAAUUAUUUAAGAUAGAUAGAUGUUAGGUACUAGUAGUACCAGAUGUAGCAAUCCCUUUUCUUCUCUCUAAAUGCCAAUGGAAUAUAACCACUCGGAUUCGAAGAUGACCUUCCCCUCUUUCUGGACUUUGCUUUCUCCCUACUCUCCUCAUUUGCUUCGCUUGGAGAAUUGUUUUCCAGGGAGGUUGCUGUUCCUGUCGUAAUCUUCUUCUUUCCCUUUUUAUCCCUAGCUUCCAAAUCAUCGAGAUAGGCAUUAGCAAGAUGAGGAGGGGCUAUAAUUUGAUCAAAUUCACUCCAACCCAUCUUUUCAGAGUUUCCAUCAUCAUACUCCACCUUGAACAAUUUAUUGACAGCAUCAAAGGCUACAACAUUGCCCAUGCAUCUCCUACCAUCAAAUACUUUCGUUACAAUAGUUCCAAUCUUUUCUCUUCCUUCAGCAAUCAUGUCAUCAUGUUCCAGCAAUUCGGCUCUCACUUUCGCAUGCAAGGCAUUAACAAAUCCACAGCCUACUUUAUUCUUCGCUUCCUCUUCCUCUUUUAUGCUAAAAAAUGCUGAUUUGCUUUGAACAUCAGAGUUGAGCGGUUCAUAUGAGUCUAUUGGUUCAUCUUUCACCUUUCCCUUACUGCAGUCAAUUUCCAUAGAGUUGCUCAUUUUCAAAUAUGCAAAACUCCUGCCACUAUCCCCACAAGUAGGUCUAACACACACAUACACACACAAGUACUUGAUAAGAAGCUGAGAAUGAGGGAUAUGGCAAACUGGGACGAUAGGGCUAUUGAAAUAGCUGAAUUUUCAGUUGGUUUGAGGGCUCAUUAAUAAAUGACACCUGCACGUAGAUUCAUCCAUGGGGCCAUUCAAGCAAAAUGACUAAACCCUAUAUUGCACAUAUGGAAAAUAAUUAAUGUGUUGCCUUGUAAGGCAAAA